UCGAACGGACAAUUAUUUAUAGCCUCUGGCUAUAGGAAAUUGUUAGUGGCAGACGGGUGAGUAAUGCGUAGGAAUCUACCUAGUAGUACGGAAUAGCCAUUAGAAAUGGUGGGUAAUACUGUAUAAUCCCCGAGGGGGAAAGAUUUAUCGCUAUUAGAUAAGCCUACGUUAGAUUAGCUAGUUGGUGAGGUAAUGGCUUACCAAGGCUAUGAUCUAUAGCUGGUCUGAGAGGACGAUCAGCCACACUGGAACUGAGAUACGGUCCAGACUCCUACGGGAGGCAGCAGUGGGGAAUAUUGGACAAUGGGCGAAAGCCUGAUCCAGCUAUGCCGCGUGAGUGAAGAAGGCCUUCGGGUUGUAAAACUCUUUCAAUAGGGAAGAUAAUGACGGUAC
rnacentral:rRNA from 1 species